GAUGAACGCUGGCGGCGUGCCUAAUACAUGCAAGUAGAACGCUGAAGGAGGAGCUUGCUCUUCUGGAUGAGUUGCGAACGGGUGAGUAACGCGUAGGUAACCUGCCUGGUAGCGGGGGAUAACUAUUGGAAACGAUAGCUAAUACCGCAUGACAACAGUUAUUGCAUGAUAACUGUUUAAAAGGGGCAACUGCUCCACUACCAGAUGGACCUGCGUUGUAUUAGCGAGUUGGUGAGGUAACGGCUCACCAAGGCGACGAUACAUAGCCGACCUGAGAGGGUGAUCGGCCACACUGGGACUGAGACACGGCCCAGACUCCUACGGGAGGCAGCAGUAGGGAAUCUUCGGCAAUGGACGGAAGUCUGACCGAGCAACGCCGCGUGAGUGAAGAAGGUUUUCGGAUCGUAAAGCUCGGUUGUAAGAGAAGAACGAGUGUGAGAGUGGAAAGUUCACACUGUGACGGUAUCUUACCAGAAAGGGACGGCUAACUACGUG
rnacentral:rRNA from 1 species